rnacentral:rRNA from 1 species
GACGUAGGAGGCGAGCGUUAUCCGGAUUCACUGGGCGUAAAGCGCACGUAGGCGGCUUCUUAAGUCAGGGGUGAAAUCCUGGAGCUCAACUCCAGAACUGCCUUUGAUACUGGCGAUCUCGAGUCCGGGAGAGGUGAGUGGAACUGCGAGUGUAGAGGUGAAAUUCGUAGAUAUUCGCAAGAACACCAGUGGCGAAGGCGGCUCACUGGCCCGGUACUGACGCUGAGGUGCGAAAGCGUGGGGAGCAAACAGG